rnacentral:misc_RNA from 1 species
GAUGAAGAACGCAGCGAAAUGCGAUAAGUAAUGUGAAUUGAAGAAUUCAGUGAAUCAUCGAAUCUUUGAACGCACAUUGCGCCCGCGAGUAUUCUCGCGGGCAUGCCUGUCCGAGCGUCAUUUCAACCCUCAGGGCCCGCCUGCUUCGGCAGGCGCGGCGCUGGUGUUGGGGAUCGGCCUAACCGCCGUCCCCCAAAUACAGUGGCGGUCUCGCUGCAGCCUCCCCUGCGUAGUAGCAACACUCGCAUGCGGAGCGCGGCGCGGCCACGCCGUAAAACCCCCGACUUUCUGAACGUUGACCUCGGAUCAGGUAGGAAUACCCGCUGAACUUAAGCAUAUCAAUAAGCGGAGGA